rnacentral:rRNA from 1 species
UACGUAGGGUCCGAGCGUUGUCCGGAAUUAUUGGGCGUAAAGGGCUCGUAGGCGGUUCGUCACGUCGGGAGUGAAAACUCGGGGCUUAACCCCGAGCCUGCUUCCGAUACGGGCAGACUAGAGGUAGGCAGGGGAGAGCGGAACUCCUGGUGUAGCGGUGGAAUGCGCAGAUAUCAGGAGGAACACCGAUGGCGAAGGCAGAUCUCUGGGCAUUAACUGACGCUGAGGAGCGAAAGCAUGGGGAGCGAACAGG